CCUUGAUUCUUAUAGCGUAAUGGAACCACAUGAUCCAUCUCGAACUCAUUCGUGAAACGUUACAGCGGCAAAAAUACUGGUGGAGAGAUCUGCUGGAAACCUAGCACAGUGUCAAGG
rnacentral:rRNA from 1 species